UACGUAGGGUGCGAGCGUUGUCCGGAAUUAUUGGGCGUAAAAGAGCUUGUAGGCGGUCUGUCGCGUCUGCUGUGAAAAUCCGGGGCUCAACCCCGGACUUGCAGUGGGUACGGGCAGACUAGAGUGUGGUAGGGGAGACUGGAAUUCCUGGUGUAGCGGUGAAAUGCGCAGAUAUCAGGAGGAACACCGAUGGCGAAGGCAGGUCUCUGGGCCACUACUGACGCUGGAGAAG
rnacentral:rRNA from 1 species